CUUACUGAGCUUUUUUGAAAUGCAGUUUCUUCAAGACAGGGCAUUUCAGGAUUGUUUUUAAGAUUGGUAGAUGUGCCAGGGGCAGCUAGACUUAGGGAAAUUCUUCGGCUAAAGCAACAUUUUCCUACGCACUGCACAUGGUCUUCUGUUUGUGAGGCACAAAGUUUUCCUGCCUUGGUAGUCUAGUCCAGCCCUGUGUGGAUGUUAGCCUUUUUUCUGCCUGCUUCUUUUGGAGGUUCAUUGUGGUUGGGUUCUCAUGUGCUAAUGCUACCAGUACUCAGUUAAAACUAGGCUACCCUUCUGCACGUCCCUGGAGCUCUCCUUCUCUCUGAGCAACUGCGCUGUCUGGUGCUGGUUCCUUCAGGGGCUCACCUUUCCUGUGCAGCUGUCACAGCAAGACUGCUGUGUUUGGCUUUCCUUUCUAUACUGCAGGCCAGAGGCUACUUGUAGGCAGUCUUGAGGCUCUCCUUGUUUAUAUCGUCGUGUGCUGCUGCCCUUGUCCAGAACCUAACAUCUGCUAUUAAACUUUUCCCAUUAUUUUUAGUUUUAAGGAGAGACAUAUUUUCCUCACCUUAGUAAAUGGUAUAGAGCUGAUGCAGCGCUCAGGUAAAGGCUCCAUGUUUUAUCUAGCUCUGCCUUGUGCUGGUUUGAAAGAUGUCAUGCUUAGUCUGGGGCAUUUGAAUACUCCUCCCCAAUUGGUGGUACUCUCUGGAGAGGCUUAGGAGGCCUAGCUAGAGGAAGUGUAUCACUGGAGAGCAACUUUGAGAACUAAAACUCUUACCAUUUCUAGUUCAUGCUCUCUGCUUCCUGCUUGUGAUUCAAGAUGUGAGAUCUCAGCUUUUGCUGCAGCCAGCCUGCUUGCUGCCUCUACUCCACCGUCAUGGACUCCUACCUUUCUGGAGCUGUAAGUCCAAACUUCUUUGUAAGUUGCCUUGGUGUAUGUUUUAUCCAAGUCCUAUAAAAGUAACUAAUACAUGGUUUUCACUGCCACUAGCUAAGCCUCCUCUAGGCUCCCUUGGGCUGCUGUGCCAUGUUGGGUUUCUAUUAUAGCUGAAAAGUUGAUUUUCCACAGCUGCAUCCACUUAAAAUACAGAAAUUCUUACACCAUCAGCAUUAAACCUUAUAGGAGUUUCCUGUGGUCACCUCCAGGGCCUCUGUGACAGUGCUGCAUUCCUUUCUAGUUUGACAUCCUCUACCUCACCUUACUUCUCUGCCUUCACACCAUCCCCUUUACCAAGUUUUCCCUUCCUAGGCAUAUCCAGGUGUUUCUUCUGCCUUGGAAUACAUAUUUUUCACUCUUGCGCUGGAUAGCUGAUGAUCAGCUCUCAGCCUUCAGUUUUCGAUAGCAUCUCUCUUACAACUCUAUCAGUCACAUAACUCACUGAUUUCCUUCAUGUGUCUCACCAUCUUCUACUUGUCUUUCCUCCCAUUAGACUGUGAGUGCCCUGAAAACAGCAGAACAGUACCAGAUUCCCUAACAGAUACCUAGGAAACAUGCACUGGGGGAAGAAUAGCCCUCCCUCCUGUCUGUCACUCCUGUGCAGCAUUCAGUGCUUCAUCGAUCCCCAGGGAAUAUCUAGUGACUUGUACUUUGAUUCCCCCAAAGGGCUAAGAUUUUGGUAGUAUUACAUUAUUGAGAAAUAAAACCAAAUGUAAAAAUAGAAUUAGGUUAAACUGUUCAUACAUUUAAUUUUACCAGUAACUACCAAAGAAUAAGAAAUGUACUUAUUGAUUGGGUUUUAAAUCUGUUUUACUGGGGAAAAUCAUCCUUCCUAAAAUUGCUAUGGAGGUAUACUCUAUAAACCUCCUAGACAUGUUUAGUUUAUAGUUGUGACCAUAACUUAACACUGAAAAGCUAAAUAACCAUGUGCUUGCCUAACUGGAAUAUGAUUUUCUUCACUUUUCAGCAAGAGAAAUUCUAAAUAACAGUGUCUCAGAUGUGUCAGUUUAUGGGUUCAAGCUUUCUGUUCACUGGUAGACAAACCAUGCAAGUCACUGGUGCCUCUUCUGAGCGAUGAACUUUGAAUACAAACUUGCAGUGGCAUACCCAUCCUGCACAGCACAUACAGCUCCAGUAAGGGACUCAAAUAUUUCUCUCUGUAAACAUGCAACAUGCUAUUGAAAACAUCUUCAAGCCAAACCGAACUGUUUCAUGACUGGCAAUAUCAGAAUGGGAAGGAUAAAACAGACAUGAUACAGUAGAUAACUUGGCACGAAUACAAAGUGAGUUGUGACCACACUGCUAAGAUCAUGUCAUUGCUGAGCGGGCAGCCUGAGCAGGGCAUGGCAAUGAGCCCGUGGAUGCAGCUCCUUCCUGAACAUGAGGAAGGGCAGCCGGCCAGGGCCAGGUGGGUCUUAGCAAUCCCAGAAGCCCUUCAUGCAGCCUGGAUAACUUGAUGCUCCAAUUAGGUAUUGAAGACUUUCUGGGGAAAAACACACCCUUCCCUCUUAACAGAAUGCUGUGUUUUAGUAAAAGACUACAACUUCAUUUUCUUUGUAUCAUACAAAAGGUCACAGCUGUUUGUCAGCCAUGCCAGCAGUGCCUGUGAUUUUACUUGCACGUGGCACCCUCCAGGGCCCUGGAGUGAUGGGUGCUCUCUUGACUGGAGAGCUGUUUUCAGGUGUGCCCCCUGCAUGCUCCUUGCAUUUGUCAGUGGCCUCCGGUUCUUUCCCUCUGUGUUCUUCCACUUUACUUAACGUCACCUUCUCCUCAGGUUCCUGCGUGAGCUUCUUUGCUGAGAUCUGGAUGUUUUCUCCUGUGGUUGGCUUCUUCCCUUUUUCCUUCUCCGACACCACCCUACUAGCAGUGUUGUUAGUCUUCUUGGAUGGAAGAGGUGUUUCAUCAGUUUUAUUGCUCUUUUUCUCUGGAGACCUUGUUCUGUUUUUUCCCAGUUGAGUCUGCUUCAGAUCUUUCCUGAUGACCCCCGACCUUUCUUUCCCAUCUGGGAGCUGUUCAGCACUGACAAGGGUAUGGCCCACCGCUCUUUGGCUCCCAGCCUCUGAUAACUUGCUUUCAGUGUUUGAUGGGCCACUGCCUCCAAGCUUUGGCUGCUUCUUGGGACUAGAAGAGCGUCCUCUGCCUUUUCUGCAGGGAUCUUGUCCAGAGCCUGCCUUAGUGGUGAUCUGGCCUUUAGUCUCUCCUUUCCUAGGGCUGAGUGACCGAUCUCGAGAUUUUCCUCUGGGGUCACUUUUUAGGGGCCUGGGAAUCUUUUCCAAAUGUUCCUCUGAAUGUCGAUUAGCUGACUUUUUGGGACUAGCAGAUCUACCUCUUCGUGUGACACUAUUUUCUCCUUUUAGUAGACUCUUCUCACCGUGCCCAUGACUGCUGGGUGGAUCCUUCUGACUCACGUUUUUCUGCAGAACAGUCUGAUGCUUCGGUUCAGGCUGGCUUCCAUUGAAAGUGCUUUUCUUUUCUGGUACAGUGUUCUUGAGUUCUUCUGCCUUUUCACAUAUCUGAACUCUAAUCAGAGAGUCUUCGGUUCCUGACACAUGAGACUCUUCAAAUAUGGAAGCAGAAUGUGAAGAUGGGAGAAGUGGUGGUUGUUCAUCAUAAAUGACAUUGGAAGAUGAAGGACUAUUAAUAUCCCAAUCACCUAAAAAGUGAUUGAGUAAGACACAGUUACACUCAAGAAUUAGAACUGGGAACAGGGAGUUUUGAACUCUGACAGCCUUUUGAACAUGUUACUGGUUGCAUAGCCCAAGGAGGAGUAUGUCACAUAGCUUAUACACGUUUACGAUUACAUCACUCUCUAGAAAGGCAGAUGCCUGUAGAUAUCUGCUCAUGUAUGAAGGGCAGAUUAUGUCAUAAUAAUUGUUUCACUUAUGUACUGUAAGAGGUAAUAUACGAUCUGUAAAUUAUUCAUAAAGCCAAAUAAGAUACAAGUAAUAAAACUGGACCAAAGUAUCUGGUCCAAGAAACUUACUAAUUAGGCUAUUAUUACUGUUUAACUUAAGGAUAUGCCAAAAUCACUAGUGAAAAAGACCAGACUGUGGUAACCCAAAGGAGGUUUACGGGCACUGUAAAUAAUUUUCUUGUUAGGCUGUCAAAUUUAAUGUCCAAAGGAGACUGAAAAAGUGCAGAAGACAGAAGUAGAUGUAUUUAAUAGCAUCAUUUUAAUUAAAAAGAAAAUGAAAGAAGUGAUUUAAAAGACAUGCAAAUUUACCAAGUCUUUUUAAGGAAAGACCAAGAAAAGCCCUGAAAGCCUUAAUGUUGCUCAGGUUUCACGUAGGAACACAGACCGGAAGGAGCCAAACCUGAAGAAGGAAGAGAGAAAGCCUAGGACUAUGUGAAAACAAACCAGCACAGUCAGCACAGCUGUCGUGGGAACGUGUGCUGUAUGGGCAGCCGGUGGAAGGGAACACAGAGGAUCACAGCCGGAAGGGACUGUAGGAGGUCAUGUCUGCACUGACCCUACAAACGCUCGGACGGGGAGCUGUGCAGGGGGAGACGCACACAAAACGGUGUGGUACUACCUUUAGUUCUAGGAUCAUGCAUUCUCAAAGUGAUUUUUAAAACACUGUGACAGUUCAAAAUACAUAAUAAAGCCAAGGGCACUUACUAUCAGUGCAGGAGUACAGACAUGAUCUUAGAUACCCUGUCCCCAGGUAGUGGGGCUACAGCAACUUCUUAUGGUAAGUGACUAGACAAUCCUACAGUUCUGGCAUUCGCUCAUUACAAAAGACAAAUAUAUCUUACUGUAAGAAAAGAACAUUUAUUGACAAUGUGUAAUUAGCCAAGGAGGGAAUAAAGCUGGGAUAUUCUGGAGCCA